CCUACGGGAGGCAGCAGUGAGGAAUAUUGGUCAAUGGGCUUACGCCUGAACCAGCCAAGUCGCGUGAGGGAAGACUGCCCUAUGGGUUGUAAACCUCUUUUGUCAGGGAGCAACGCCGGCUACGUGUAGCCGGACUGAGAGUACCUGAAGAAAAAGCAUCGGCUAACUCCGUGCCAGCAGCCGCGGUAAUACGGAGGAUGCGAGCGUUAUCCGGAUUUAUUGGGUUUAAAGGGUGCGUAGGCGGAAUGCCAAGUCAGCGGUAAAAUCGCGGGGCUCAACCUCGCUCCGCCGUUGAAACUGGCGUGCUUGAGUGGGCGAGAAGUAGGCGGAAUGCGUGGUGUAGCGGUGAAAUGCAUAGAUAUCACGCAGAACUCCGAUUGCGAAGGCAGCAUACCGGCGCCCAACUGACGCUGAAGCACGAAAGCGUGGGUAUCGAACAGGAUUAGAUACCAGGGUAGUC
rnacentral:rRNA from 1 species